rnacentral:rRNA from 1 species
AGGGAAUCUUCCGCAAUGGACGAAAGUCUGACGGAGCAACGCCGCGUGAGUGAAGAAGGCCUUCGGGUCGUAAAACUCUGUUGCCGGGGAAGAACAAGUGCCGUUCGAACAGGGCGGUGCCUUGACGGUACCCGGCCAGAAAGCCACGGCUAACUACGUGCCAGCAGCCGCGGUAAUACGUAGGUGGCAAGCGUUGUCCGGAAUUAUUGGGCGUAAAGCGCGCGCAGGCGGUUUCUUAAGGCUGAUGGGAAAUCGUGCGGCUCAACCGCAAGCGGUCAUUGGAAACUGGGAGGCUUGAGUGCAGAAGAGGAGAGUGGAAUUCCACGUGUAGCGGUGAAAUGCGUAGAGAUGUGGAGGAACACCAGUGGCGAAGGCGGCUCUCUGGUCUGUAACUGACGCUGAGGCGCGAAAGCGUGGGGAGCAAAC